ensembl:lncRNA
CGGGAAGGCUGCGGCUUUGGGCGAGCGCGGCGCUAAAGUCCAUCGGGCCGGGCGGGCUAAAGUUCAGCGAGGAUGCUUUCGGGAUCUGGGAGAGGAAGGAGGGAAGACAAGAGCCCCAGGGAAGAAACCGUCUGUUUUUGAUGUCUCUGUUUUAAUGGAGGCAACCAGUUCUCAGGAAGACCGAGUUAGGAGUGGCCACCGGCACAGUGCGGCUCAGAAAUGCACAGGUCAAAACCGUGGCUAAGAACGCUGUGUCCGGGUGUCCCGGGGGUGGGGGUGGGGGCUGCCACUUUGUUUAACAUCGGGAUACAAAAUAAUCACUAGGGUAGGGAGAUAUGCUCACCCUGCUUAUUUGUAGGCAAGAAACAAAUGCAAAAACAUAACAUGACAUCGUCUGUAACACCACAGCGCUUACGACGUAGCUCUUUCACUAGACAAAAGCCCAUUUUAUCUUCUGCAAAACCCAUCUGAACCUUUGGAACUUUCAUUUGCGGCAUUUGGGCGCCCUCUGGCUGUGUCUGGAUUGUUUUCACGCUUGCCUACAUCCCUGCAAAGAAAAACCGAUUGAGCUGCUAGUUUUCUUCCUGGAUGGUUCUGCCCUCUUGACCUGGGCUUGGAUUCCAGGGUAGAAAUGUUAUUCAAAAUGAGGUGACAAAAUGUAAGCAUAUUUAUGGGGGCAGACGCCAAAAGCAAGUGCAUCCGCCUUCAACUGGGGAAAGCUUUCAGUGUGUGCCUGUUAACAGCCAACUUCCUGAAUCAUGUAGAUUCUGACCUGCAGUUCCUGCUGGUUCUUUCAACCCAGAUCAAGCAUCACAGAUUUCACCCUGUCAGACCAUUCCCAACAAUACUUCUUCCACUGGUCCAUUUAAUGAGAAGGAAAAUGGCUUAAACUGCAAUUCUGUCCAGAAGGCUUGGAAAGCUAGCUUCCCUACAGGACCUUCAAAGAUCCAGGACUUCAAGGUGGGAGAUAUCCAAAGGCCAAGAGGCAGAACAGGGGUUGAUUGAUCAACAGAAGCAACCACCUCCAGGCUCCCUGCCUCCAGCCUUGGCUAGAAACUUACUCUAGAGAAACUGAUCCCAAGAGACACAGGCCUGAAAGUGGGGGAAUCACCUGAGUGUUGGCCUAACGAUAGUGGAACACCCAGCCCACUCCCACAACCCAAUGCCAGAAACAUUCCCAGAACUUGGUGCCUGUACAUUCCUGCAGCCAGAAAACCCCACCCACCCCAUAGGAGAUUGGCGACGUCAUUGGAGAGAGAGUUCCCUCAUGAAAAGGCCAGUUAGCCAAAAUUUUAGUUUGACACCAUUAUGAAGCCUGCUCACCCACAGUUCUGUCCACAGAGAGCUUGCAAAUCGCUUUCAAGACCCCUGUUUAAUUACAAAAGGGCAAUCAAGGAGCACCAAGUUUUAAGAAAAUGUGUAACAAGAAUUAAAGGAGACCGGAGUUCCUGUCGUGGCUCAGUGGUUAACAAACCAGACUAGGAUCCAUGAGGAUGCGGGUUCAAUCCCUGGCCUUGCUCAAUGGGUGGGGGUUCCAGCAUUGCUGUGGUUGUGAUGUAGGCCAGCAGCUGUAGCUCUGAUUCGACCUCUAGCCUGGGAAGGGAACCUCCAUAUGCCAUGGGUAUGGCCCUAAAAAGAAAAAAAAAAAAAAAAAAAGGACACAUGUUUUAAACAAAUUCCUAGAAAGAAACAGCAUACUGAAUACCGUACUAAUAAAGCAAGCACAGACAAGCCA